GACGAACGCUGGCGGCGUGCUUAACACAUGCAAGUCGAACGGAAAGGCCCUGCUUUUGUGGGGUGCUCGAGUGGCGAACGGGUGAGUAACACGUGAGUAACCUGCCCUUGACUUUGGGAUAACUUCAGGAAACUGGGGCUAAUACCGGAUAGGAGCUCCUGCUGCAUGGUGGGGGUUGGAAAGUUUCGGCGGUUGGGGAUGGACUCGCGGCUUAUCAGCUUGUUGGUGGGGUAGUGGCUUACCAAGGCUUUGACGGGUAGCCGGCCUGAGAAGGUGACCGGCCACAUUGGGACUGAGAUACGGCCCAGACUCCUACGGGAGGCAGCAGUGGGGAAUAUUGCACAAUGGGCGGAAGCCUGAUGCAGCAACGCCGCGUGCGGGAUGACGGCCUUCGGGUUGUAAACCGCUUUCGCCUGUGACGAAGCGUGAGUGACGGUAAUGGGUAAAGAACCACCGGCUAACUACGUG
rnacentral:rRNA from 1 species